GGAUAGAUCUGCGGCUGAUUAGGUCGUUGGUGGGGUAAUGGCCCACCAAGCCGAUGAUCGGUACGGGUUGUGAGAGCAAGGGCCCGGAGAUGGAACUGAGACAAGGUUCCAGACCCUACGGGGUGCAGCAGGCGCGAAACCUCCGCAAUGUACGUAAGUGCGACGGGGGGAUCCCAAGUGUUAUGCUUAAUAGUAUAACUUUUCAUUAGUGUAAAAAGCUUUUAGAAUAAGAGCUGGGCAAGACCGGUGCCAGCCGCCGCGGUAAUACCGGCAGCUCGAGUGGUAGCUGUUUUUAUUGGGCCUAAAGCGUUCGUAGCCGGUUUGAUAAGUCUUUGGUGAAAGCUUGUAGCUUAACUAUAAGAAUUGCUGGAGAUACUAUCAGACCUGAAGUCGGGAGAGGUUAGAGGUACUACCGGGGUAGGGGUGAAAUCCUAUAAUCCUGGGAGGACCACCUGUGGCGAAGGCGUCUAACUAGAACGAUCUUGACGGUGAGUAACGAAAGCCAGGGGCGCGAACCGGAUUAGAUACCCGGGUAGUCCUGGCCGUAAACGAUGUGGACUUGGUGUUGGAAUGGCUUUGAGUUGUUCCAGUGCCGAAGGGAAGCUGUUAAGUCCACCGCCUGGGAAGUACGGUCGCAAGACUGAAACUUAA
rnacentral:rRNA from 1 species